GACGAACGCUGGCGGCGUGCUUAACACAUGCAAGUCGAACGGUAAGGCCCUUCGGGGUACACGAGUGACGAACGGGUGAGUAACACGUGGGUGAUCUGCCCUGCACUUCGGGAUAAGCCUGGGAAACUGGGUCUAAUACCGGAUAGGACCCUGGGAUGCAUGUCCUGGGGUGGAAAGCUUUUGCGGUGUGGGAUGGGCCCGCGGCCUAUCAGCUUGUUGGUGGGGUGAUGGCCUACCAAGGCGACGACGGGUAGCCGGCCUGAGAGGGUGACCGGCCACACUGGGACUGAGAUACGGCCCAGACUCCUACGGGAGGCAGCAGUGGGGAAUAUUGCACAAUGGGCGCAAGCCUGAUGCAGCGACGCCGCGUGAGGGAUGACGGCCUUCGGGUUGUAAACCUCUUUCAGCACCGACGAAGCGCAAGUGACGGUAGGUGCAGAAGAAGCGCCGGCCAACUACGUGCCAGCAGCCGCCGUAAAAC
rnacentral:rRNA from 1 species